rnacentral:rRNA from 1 species
UGGAGGAAAGCAGGGGAUCGCAAGACCUUGCGCUUUUGGAGUGGCCGAUGCCUGAUUAGCUAGUUGGUAGGGUAAUGGCUUACCAAGGCGACGAUCAGUAGUUGGUCUGAGAGGACGACCAGCCACACUGGGACUGAGACACGGCCCAGACUCCUACGGGAGGCAGCAGUGGGGAAUUUUGGACAAUGGGCGAAAGCCUGAUCCAGCAAUGCCGCGUGAGUGAAGAAGGCCUUCGGGUUGUAAAGCUCUUUCAGUCGAGAAGAAAAGGUUGUGACUAAUAAUCACAACUCAUGACGGUAUCGACAGAAGAAGCACCGGCUAACUACGUGCCAGCAGCCGCGGUAAUACGUAGGGUGCGAGCGUUAAUCGGAAUUACUGGGCGUAAAGGGUGCGCAGGCGGCUUUGUAAGUCAGAUGUGA